GAUGAGCCCAAGUUGAGAUUAGCUUGUUGGUGAGGUAAAGGCUCACCAAGGCGACGAUCUAUAGCUGGUCUGAGAGGAUGAUCAGCCACAUUGGGACUGAGACACGGCCCAAACUCCUACGGGAGGCAGCAGUGGGGAAUAUUGCACAAUGGGGGGAACCCUGAUGCAGCCAUGCCGCGUGUGUGAAGAAGGCCUUCGGGUUGUAAAGCACCUUUCAGUUGUGAGGAAAGCAUAAUGGUUAAUACCCAUUAUGUGUGACGUUAGCAACAGAAGAAGGACCGGCUAACUCCGUGCCAGCAGCCGCGGUAAUACGGAGGGUGCAAGCGUUAAUCGGAAUUACUGGGCGUAAAGCGCGCGUAGGUGGCCUGUUAAGCAGGAUGUGAAAGCCCCGGGCUCAACCUGGGAACUGCAUUUCGAACUGGCAGACUAGAGUAUGGUAGAGGUGAGUGGAAUUUCCUGUGUAGCGGUGAAAUGCGUAGAUAUAGGAAGGAAUACCAGUGGCGAAGGCGGCCACCUGGCUUGAUACUGACGCUGAGGUGCGAAAGCGUGGGGAGCGAACAGGAUUAGAUACCCUGGUAGUCCACGCCGUAAACGAUGUCAACUAGCCGUUUGUGUCCUUGAGACGUGAGUGGCGCAGCUAACGCACUAAGUUGACCGCCUGGGGAGUACGGCCGCAAGGUUAAAACUCAAAUGAAUUGACGGGGGCCCGCACAAGCGGUGGAGCAUGUGGUUUAAUUCGAUGCAACGCGAAGAACCUUACCAUCCCUUGACAUCCAGAGAAGCGACUAGAGAUAGACGUGUGCCUUCGGGAACUCUGUGACAGGUGCUGCAUGGCUGUCGUCAGCUCGUGUUGUGAAAUGUUGGGUUAAGUCCCGCUACGAGCGCAACCCCUAUCCUUAUUUGCCAGCGUGUUAUGGCGGGAACUCUAAGGAGACUGCCGGUGAUAAACCGGAGGAAGGUGGGGACGACGUCAAGUCAUCAUGGCCCUUACGGGAUGGGCUACACACGUGCUACAAUGGCAGGUACAGAGGGCAGCAACACCGCUAGGUGGAGCGAAUCCCAGAAAGUCCGUCGUAGUCCGGAUCGGAGUCUGCAACUCGACUCCGUGAAGUCGGAAUCGCUAGUAAUCGUGGAUCAGAAUGCCACGGUGAAUACGUUCCCGGGCCUUGUACACACCGCCCGUCACACCAUGGGAGUGGGUUGCAAAAGAAGUGGCUAGUUUAACCUUCGGGAGGACGGUCACCACUUUGUGA
rnacentral:rRNA from 1 species